UCUAUUUAACACAGAGACGUUGACAGGUAGUACUCCGGUCUCUUAAACAUGGCCACCAUGAUGGAGUAAAUGCUACAACUUUAAAUUUCAGAUUUUUGAGGAAAACUAUUUUUUCUCUUCUCUACGAGGAAUGUUUCGUCCGAAUAUACCUUACCAAAUAUCAAAUCUAUAUGAAAGCUUUGGGUAAACUUUCCUAUUGGAUUACGUUUUGAUAUAAGUUGGCUGGAACCUGGAAAGGAAAAAAAAGAAUUGCAUCAAUUCCAAUGUCAUCAGAGGACAAGAGUUUGGAGCCCUCUGACCAAGGACAGUCUCCUCCCCUGAGCAGUGCUGAGGCCACGCCCUCGAGGGCCACGCCCUCGGGGAGUCCAGCCCACAGUGACCGGCGUCCCCGAGGCCGGCCUUGUAAGGAUGCAGGCUCUUCCAUUCAUGCACCAAGGCCCAAAAGGAAGUCACGCAGUCGAGGUCGUCCGCAGGCAGAUGAUGAGGUCAGCAUGGAUGGCAGUGAGCCUGCAGACACAGAGCCUCUUCAGGACAUGGGUAAGCCCUCCACACCAUC